CAGGAUUCAGGGGACCGCAGUCAGCCUGAUCCGCUGGCAGGUCUCGAUGACACAAAGUCAACUCGAGCCGCAACUGGCAGGAUUCAGGGGACCGUAGUCAGCCUGAUCCGCAAUUCUGGCAGACCUCGGCGACACCAAGUCAACCGAGCUGCAAAUCCUGGCAGACCUCGGCGACACCAAGUCAAACCGAGCUGCAAAUCCUGGUACUCACGGUCCGAG
rnacentral:lncRNA from 1 species